CCUACGGGUGGCAGCAGUGGGGGAUAUUGGACAAUGGGGGGAACCCUGAUCCAGCGACGCCGCGUGAGUGAAGAAGUAUCUCGGUAUGUAAAGCUCUAUCAGCAGGGAAGAAGAAAUGACGGUACUUGAGUAAGAAGCCCGGCCUAACUACGUGCCAGCAGCCCGGGUAAUACGUAGGGGGCAAGCGUUAGCCGGUUUUACUGGGUGUAAAGGGAGCGUAGACGGUGUUGUAGGUUUGGAGUGAAAGUCAGGGGCUCAACCCGCGGACUGCUUUGGAAAUUUUGAGACUAGGGUGCAGGAGAGGUGAGCGGAAUUCCUAGUGUAGCGGUGAAAUGCGUAGAUAUUAGGAGGAACACCAGUGGCGAAGGCGGCUCACUGGACUGUAACUGACGUUGAGGCUCGAAAGCGUGGGGAGCAAACAGGAUUAGAUACCCUUGUAGUC
rnacentral:rRNA from 1 species